rnacentral:rRNA from 1 species
GGUCACUGCUAUCGGGGUUCGAUUAAGCCAUGCGAGUCGAGAGGGUUCGGCCCUCGGCGUACUGCUCAGUAACACGUGGAUAACCUGCCCUAAGGAAGGGGAUAACCCCGGGAAACUGGGGAUAAUACCCUAUAGGUUACAGAUGCUGGAAUGCCCUGUAACCCAAAGCUCCGGCGCCUUAGGAUGGAUCUGCGGCCGAUUAGGUUGUUGUUGGGGUAACGGCCCAACAAGCCAGUAAUCGGUACGGGUUGUGGGAGCAAGAGCCCGGAGUUGGAUUCUGAGACACGAAUCCAGGCCCUACGGGGCGCACAGGCGCGAAAACUUUACAAUGCGGGCAACCGUGAUAAGGGAACCUCGAGUGCCUGUACAUGCAGGCUGUUCGGGUGUCUAAAACACACCUGAAGAAAGGGCCGGGCAAGACCGGUGCCAGCCGCCGCGGUAAUACCGGCGGCUCGAGUGGUGGCCACUUUUAUUGGGCUUAAAGCGUUCGUAGCUGGGUUGUUAAGUCUCUUGGGAAAUCUGACGGCUCAACCGUCAGCGUCUAAGGGAUACUGGCAAUCUUGGAACCGGGAGAGGUGAGGGGUACUUCGGGGGUAGGAGUGAAAUCCUGUAAUCCUCGAGGGACCACCUGUGGCGAAGGCGCCUCACCAGAACGGCUUCGACAGUGAGGGACGAAAGCUGAGGGAGCAAACCGGAUUAGAUACCCGGGUAGUCCCAGCCGUAAACGAUGCGCGUUAGGUGUAUCGGUGUCCACGAGUCACCGAGGUGCCGAAGGGAAACCGUGAAACGUGGCCGCCUGGGAAGUACGGUCGCAAGGCUGAAACUUAAAGGAAUUGGCGGGGGAGCACCACAACGGGUGGAGCCUGCGGUUUAAUUGGACUCAACGCCGGGAAGCUCACCGGAUAAGACAGCUGAAUGAUUGCCGGGCUGAAGACUCUGCAUGACUAGCUGAGAGGAGGUGCAUGGCCGUCGUCAGUUCGUACUGUGAAGCAUCCUGUUAAGUCAGGCAACGAGCGAGACCCACGCCAACAGUUGCCAGCAUGGUCUCCGGACUGAUGGGGACACUGUUGGGACCGCCUCUGCUAAAGAGGAGGAAGGAAUGGGCAACGGUAGGUCAGCAUGCCCCGAAUUAUCCGGGCUACACGCGGGCUACAAUGGGCAGGACAAUGGGUAUUGACACCGAAAGGUGAAGGCAAUCUCCUAACCCUGUCCUUCGUUCGGCUUGUGGGCUGUCACUCGCCCCCCUGAAGCUGGCCUCCGUCGUCAUCGCGUUUCAAAAUCCCGCGGUGAAUGUGUCCCUGCUCC